rnacentral:lncRNA from 1 species
CUGCUCAGUAUGUGUUGAUAGUCCUUCCUACCGUGCUGUUUUUGAAAGAUAUAAUGUAAGUCAUCAAGAACUACAAAAGUUUUGCUACUUUUCUCAACAACAUUGAUGUCCUGAAUUUAGCAGGUGCUAUCGACUGAUCAGUUGGAUAAAGUUAUGGACUACUUUCUGCACACGCCACGGUCAGUGUGAACCGGAGUGACUUGACAUAAUGCUGGCCAAACAAGCUACAAACAAAACAGAGUUAAAUGGUUCCAAUCUGCCGUGAAGCAUUCACCCAUGUACACGAGAGUCCUUGAGCUAGAGGUGGCUGCAGUGGAGCACCAGUUCAUCUUCAUUGAUGAGAUUGGAUUCAACCUCACAAAAAGACGAAAGAGGGGAAGGAAUAUCAUCGGCCAGCGUGCCAUUGUUCAAGUCCCUGGCCAGCGCGGAGGGAACAUCACAAUGUGUCCAGCGAUUACCCACCACGGCGUCAUCCAUCACCAUGCUACCCUUGGCCCCUACAACAACGCCCAUCUGAUCACAUUCCUGGACACCCUACACAACACACUCAUUCCACCAGAUCAGGUAGAUGGCCCAGAGCAGCUCAGGUACGUUGUCAUUUGGGACAACAUAAGUUUCCACAGGGCUGCUCUGGUUUGUAACUGGUUCACUGCCCACCCACGCUUUUUAGUUGUUUAUCUCCCUCCAUAUUCUCCAGUCCUCAAUCCUAUUGAGGAAUUUUUUUCUGCCUGGAGAUGGAAAGUGUAUGACCGAAAUUCACAAACGCGUAUACCUCUUCUCCAAGCUAUGGAAGACGCAUGUGGAGAAAUAGCAGCUGAUGCUUUUCAUGGCUGGAAUCGGCAUGCUAGGCGAUAUUUCCCCCGCUGCUUGGCCAGGGAAAACAUUGCUUGUGAUGUGGAUGAGGUGCUGUGGCCAGACCGCAACAGAAGAGAGGAUGCAGCAUAGUUUUAAAUGUUUAAAUUUUAAAUGUUUUUUACUUUAACUGUAUACAUUAAAUUCUUCUGUUUUGUAUGUAGACCACUGUAUGUGCAACUUUGUGUUGGUUGGGAAUGGGAUGUACACUGUGUACAUUGUUUUUGUGGGAAAAAUAAAAUAUAUUUGUUACCGUG